rnacentral:rRNA from 1 species
CCUACGGGCGGCAGCAGUGGGGAAUAUUGGGCAAUGGACGCAAGUCUGACACAGCAACGCCGCGUGAAGGAAGAAGGCUUUCGGGUUGUAAACUUCUUUGAAGGGGGAAGAGCAGAAGACGGUACCCCUUGAAUAAGCCACGGCUAACUACGUGCCAGCAGCCGCGGUAAUACGUAGGUGGCAAGCAUUGUCCGGAUUUACUGGGGGUAAAGGGCGUGCAGCCGGAGAGACAAGUCAGAUGUGAAAUCCACGGGCUCAACCCGUGAACUGCAUUUGAAACUGUUUCCCUGGAGUGUCGGAGAGGUAAUCGGAAUUCCUAGUGUAGCGGUGAAAUGCGUAGAUAUUAGGAAGAACACCAGUGGCGAAGGCGGAUUACUGGACGAUAACUGACGGUGAGGCGCGAAAGCGUGGGGAGCAAACAGGAUUAGAUACCCGUGUAGUC